rnacentral:rRNA from 1 species
AUUGAACGCUGGCGGCAUGCCUUACACAUGCAAGUCGAACGGCAGCACGGGGAGCAAUCCUGGUGGCGAGUGGCGAACGGGUGAGUAAUAUAUCGGAACGUGCCCAGUCGUGGGGGAUAACGCAGCGAAAGCUGUGCUAAUACCGCAUACGAUCUAUGGAUGAAAGCGGGGAUCGCAAGACCUCGCGCGAUUGGGAGCGGCCGAUAUCAGAUUAGGUAGUUGGUGGGGUAAAAGGCUCACCAAGCCGACGAUCUGUAGCUGGUCUGAGAGGACGACCAGCCACACUGGAACUGAGACACGGUCCAGACUCCUACGGGAGGCAGCAGUGGGGAAUUUUGGACAAUGGCGCAAGCCUGAUCCAGCAAUGCCGCGUGCAGGAUGAAGGCCUCGGUCGUAAACUGCUUUGUACGGGAACNAAAAGGCCUCUGGUUAAUACCUGGGGCACAUGACGGUACCGUAG